rnacentral:hammerhead_ribozyme from 1 species
AUCCAGCUGGCGAGUCCAAAAUAGGACGAAACGCGCGUCAUGGAU